GUGGGGAAUAUUGGACAAUGGGGGGAACCCUGAUCCAGCCAUGCCGCGUGUGUGAAGAAGGCCUUUUGGUUGUAAAGCACUUUAAGCGAGGAGGAGGCUACCGAGAUUAAUACUCUUGGAUAGUGGACGUUACUCGCAGAAUAAGCACCGGCUAACUCUGUGCCAGCAGCCGCGGUAAUACAGAGGGUGCAAGCGUUAAUCGGAUUUACUGGGCGUAAAGCGCGCGUAGGUGGCCAAUUAAGUCAAAUGUGAAAUACCCGAGCUUAACUUGGGAAUUGCAUUCGAUACUGGUUGGCUAGAGUAUGGGAGAGGAUGGUAGAAUUCCAGGUGUAGCGGUGAAAUGCGUAGAGAUCUGGAGGAAUACCGAUGGCGAAGGCAGCCAUCUGGCCUAAUACUGACACUGAGGUGCGAAAGCAUGGGGAGCAAACAGGAUUAGAUACCCGUGUAGUCC
rnacentral:rRNA from 1 species